rnacentral:misc_RNA from 1 species
AAUCAUUCGUAGUUUGUUAGAAUUCGCUGGAGUUCGAUAGUUGCUUAUAUUCACAGGUCUUGGCGUGCACUGCAUUUUUUCUAUAUAUUCUAUUGAUAAUAAAUUAAAUUUCUUGUGAUACAUUGGUAAAGAAAAGAUAACAAGAAGAAGCACAGUCAGCAAAGAAUCGCCGUGUUCUCCACAAUUUUCCGCCAUUUUGAAAGCUACGAGUGUAAAAUUUAGUGAUUCGUCAGAAAACGCGUUGCUUAUAAAAAUUGGUAAAAUUGCUGGAAAACGUACAUAUAAUAAAUAAAAUAAGUGUAAAUUGUUAGUGAAACAGCCAAGGAAGUGUUUGUGAAUAAAAAGUAGUUGUUUAAACAUUGUGUUUGCUCGAUUUGUUCGAGGAAAAUUUUAUGUUCUGUACAAGCGAAAAGGGCUAACCAACGCAGAAAAAAGCAAGCCUACUACAAGUGAGCGAGUAGCACCCCAAAAUCCACGGUCUGCCGCCGCGGCCAUAAACUUAAAAGGCAAUACUUUGAAAAAUAUGGUUUAUAACUUGUUACAAAUUUAAAUUUGACGUGCCUAUCGCAGGAAAUAAAAUUGAAAGUUGUCGCGCAGUCAUAGUUCGUUUCGUUCCCAGACCUUGUCAACGUCGCAGAACACAUUUAAGUCGGUCAAUACAUACAUAGUGACCAUUCAACAAAUCGUUCGUGAAUUUUUGUCCCUUUAAAAUAGUGAAAACUGUUACUGGUAAAAUGGAUAACUCAACAUGAAUGAAAUGAAGUUAUUAUGUAUGAAGGACCCACAUUUUUAUUAAAUUGUAAUUGUUGUGCUAGUUGAAAUAUCUGAGAAAAUCUGCGUCGUAUAAUUUUACGCUUUACGUAGCUGAACUGAAGUGGAAAAGGAAGUGCAAGAUACAAACGAUUGCGCUUAGUUGGAAAACUGAAAAAUUGCAAUUCAUCACAUUUCUUUUUUAAGGUCAAAGUUUUAUAUUAUUUAUAGAGGAAGAGUGUAUUUGACACACAAACAUAUUAACAUAGACUUGGAAAACUAAAACGUAGUUUUAAAUAAAAAAUACGGCAGUAACACACAAUGGAUAAAAAUAUGAUGUUACCGAAGCGUUCACGCUUAGACGCGAAGGGCACAUUCGCCAAUGGUCCGUUGCAGGCACGUCCAUUGGUUGCGUUACUUGAUGGACGUGACUGUUCAAUUGAAAUGCCUAUAUUGAAAGAUGUGGCCACAGUGGCCUUCUGCGACGCACAAAGUACAUCCGAGAUUCAUGAAAAGGUUCUAAAUGAAGCUGUCGGCGCACUAAUGUGGCAUACUAUAAUCCUUACAAAAGAGGAUUUGGAAAAAUUCAAAACAUUACGUAUUAUAGUGCGGAUUGGUAGCGGUACGGACAAUAUCGAUGUGAAAGCAGCGGGUGAACUGGGUAUUGCCGUUUGUAAUGUACCGGGUUAUGGUGUUGAGGAAGUCGCAGAUACAACAAUGUGUUUGAUAUUGAAUUUGUAUCGAAGGACCUAUUGGCUGGCGAAUAUGGUGCGCGAAGGCAAAAAAUUCACUGGUCCUGAACAAGUUCGAGAAGCAGCGCAUGGUUGCGCAAGGAUUCGAGGCGAUACCUUAGGACUUGUGGGACUUGGUCGCAUUGGCAGCGCUGUCGCUUUGCGAGCAAAAGCAUUUGGCUUUAAUGUUAUAUUUUACGACCCCUAUCUUCCGGAUGGUAUCGAUAAAUCGCUUGGCCUAACUCGUGUCUACACCCUACAAGAUUUGCUGUUUCAAUCAGAUUGUGUGUCGUUGCAUUGUACACUCAACGAACACAACCACCACUUAAUUAACGAAUUCACAAUUAAACAGAUGAGACCUGGUGCAUUUUUGGUAAACACAGCACGAGGCGGACUGGUCGAUGACGAGACCUUGGCUUUGGCUCUGAAACAAGGCAGAAUAAGAGCUGCAGCUUUAGAUGUGCACGAAAACGAGCCCUACAAUGUAUUCCAAGGAGCCCUUAAAGAUGCUCCAAAUCUUAUAUGUACACCACAUGCAGCCUUCUUCAGCGAUGCAUCCGCAACUGAGUUGCGAGAAAUGGCAGCAACGGAGAUACGACGGGCAAUAGUCGGCAAUAUUCCAGACGUCUUAAGGAAUUGUGUUAAUAAGGAAUAUUUCUUGCGAACACCAGCUGUGGCUGCUGCUGCUGCAGCUGCGGCAGUGUAUUCAGAAGGAUUAAAUGGCGGAUAUUAUGCAACGAGCGGACUGCAACAGGCCCACAGUACCACACAUGAUGCACCGCACAGUGCAGCUGGUAGUGCACUUAUCGUUCCACCGCCGCCGUCGGUAGUGAAUCCGUCGCCAGUUCCUACGGUGCCGUCGGUGCAUAUACCACCGCAAGUUGGAUUACAACAUGGACUUGUGAGUAGUAAAUCGCCCCUGAAUGCACCAGACCCUAAUAACCAUCUUUCGUCUGCUUCUAACAUACCAGAGCCAUCAGAGGUCCAAUAGUUCAAAAGCGCCAACAUCUGUGAGUGGACUCAAUAAGCUAAUAUAAAUAGAAAACAACACAUACAACCAGCAAGCAAACAACCAGAAAUCGUUUAAACGGAAACGCAAAUUGACCUGAAAAUAAUUUAAAUGCAAAAAAAGAAAAACAAAAAAAUGCAAACAAUAAAUUGCCGCGACUAAUUUUCAAAAAUGAUAUAUUUUAUGAACACCGGGCAGCAGAAAGAAGUCUAGACGUGAUGAAAGGAAGGAAGCGUUCUAGCCGAUGCUAUAUCGUUGUUACGUAACGCGAACGCAUUGAGAUCCAAGGUUAGCACUUAGUACGCAAAUACAGGCAGCAUAUUGAAAUAAUUACAUAAUUUAAAUGAAAGGAUGCGGAAAACAGCAAAAAAAAGAAAUGAAAAAAAUUUUAACUUGAUCCGUCACAACAUUUGGUUAAAAUUUUAAAGGUAAAAAUGUAUUCGCUUCUGUGAGUGAAACAUAAAAUAUACGGUAUAUUUCUUUGUAGGAGUAUAUUACACUUUAAACACGCUUAUUCGCUCUACAAUACUUAAAAAACAUAUUCAAACAAAUAUAAAUUAAUUGAAUAAAUGAAUAAUUCAGAGUGAAGUACAACUAAAUAUAAACAAGAUGUAUAAGUAUCAUGCUCAUUAUAAAUGUUUAGUUAAUCAAAUAAAAGUUGUCUUACAUAAUAAUACUCCUUUAGAUUUGCAAUUAAGUUAAGUUACUUAUGAAAUUCAGUUAAAUAGUUUUAUCUACAUUGAUUUAAAAAGUAUAUAUACAAUAUGCGAGAGCAGAUUGCAUUACCAACGAGUAGAUGUUAUAAAAUAGGCUUCAAACAACACGCUUAAGAAUUGUGAAAUAAUUUAAUUCUGAUAAUUUUUCCGAACGUUGCAUAAGCGUUAAAGAUAUGCGGACGGCAGUUGGAUACACUGUAGUGAUGCUCUUCGAAUGCACUUUUGCACAUAUUCCUUAAAAUAUUCAAAUAAUAACUAAUCCUUAACAGCGAUGAUCCCCUUUAGAGUGUGCUUAAUACAACGAAUUUUUUGUACUGUUUUCUAAUUUUGCUUAUAAGAGUAUGUAUAUGUAUGUAUCCCACCUAAUUGGCCUCAAACUGAAUUAAAUGAUUAGCUUCUCUGCAGAUGAAUAAAUAAAACGUUUGCAUAAAGAGUA